rnacentral:rRNA from 2 species
GGCUUCUUGCUACUUUAAUAUAAGAAGUCUAACCUGCCCAGUGAAAUUUUUUAACGGCCGCGGUACUCUGACCGUGCAAAGGUAGCAUAAUCACUUGCCUUAUAAUUGAAGGCUUGUAUGAAUGGUUUGACAAGAAUAAAGCUGUCUCUUUUUAAAUACAUAGAAUUUGAUUUUUAGGUGAAGAAGCCUAAAUUAAAUUGAAAGACAAGAAGACCCUAUCGAGCUUAAAAACUUUUUAUUAUAUAAUGAUUAAAUCAAGUUUUAAUAAAAAUUUUUAGUUGGGGCGACUGAGGAACAAAAAAGCUUCCUUUAGAAUUGUUUACUAAUAAGUUUUGAUCCAAGAUAUUUGAUUAAAAAAAUUAGUUACCGUAGGGAUAACAGCAUAAUUUUUCUUGAGAGCUCAUAUCGAAAGAAAAGUUUGUGACCUCGAUGUUGGACUAGGAUAUCCUGAUAGAUGUAGAAGUCUUCAAUGGUUGGUCUGUUCGACCAGUAAUAUCCU